UAGUGCCCAACACUAUGCGAGAGAGUGCCCAAGGAACUAGAAUCAGGGAAGACCUCCUAUCUAGGGCAAGGCUUACAACCUCACCCAGCAGGAUGCCGAUGCCGACCCGGACGUGGUACAGGGUAUGUACACUAUCUGUAACGAUCUUGCUCAUGUUUUGUUUGACACUAGUGCAUCGCAUUCAUUUGUCUCACCUAUUUUUGCUUCCAAAAUUAAUGUAUUACC
rnacentral:lncRNA from 1 species